UAUGUAAAUUUCCCAACAAAGAAAUCUAUAAAAAAAAGUAUGUGGCAACGGUCGUUCCACUCUCCUGCUCAAUUUAAUAUCUUCGUUCUCUUUUCUCCUCCAGUUAAGCGUGUUUUCAAUUUCAAAAUCAUUUUAAUUAACGAUGAACUUUAAAUUGCAGAGGAAACAUGAAGAAGAUCAUGAGGCACCACAUACCCCCAAGAGCGUGGGGCUGGUCAUCGGUGUAACGGGCAUAGUAGGCAACAGCCUAGCUCGAAUCCUCCCACAAUCAGACACACCCGGCGGUCCAUGGAAGGUCUACGGAGUCGCACGCCGUCCUCGCCCGCAUUGGAACAGCGACUACCCCAUGGAGUACAUCCAAUGCGACAUCUCGGACCCAAACGACACCGUAUCCAAGCUCUCCGGAUUAACUGACGUCACCCACAUCUUUUAUGUCACUUGGGCCAGCCGAUCCACGGAGCCCCAAAAUUGUGAGGUAAACGCCGCCAUGAUCCGCAACGUGCUACGUGUCGUCAUCACGAACGCGCCAAACCUCUGCCACGUGUGUUUGCAGACAGGGACCAAACACUACUUCGGACCCUACGAGUCGUUCGGCAAACUGGAGCCUCGGGAGCCGCCUUGGUUGGAGGAUCUGCCCCGACUGAACGCCCCGAACUUCUACUACGCCCAGGAGGACGUGUUGUUUGAAGAGGUGGGGAAGAAAGAGGAGUUGAAUAUUACAUGGUCGGUGCACCGACCGGGGCCUAUUUUCGGCUUUUCGCCGUACAGCUUGGUCAACAUUGUAGCCAUGCUGAGUGUGUACGCUUCUAUAUGUAAGCACGAGAAGAAACCUUUGAGAUUUCCUGGAAGCAAAGAGGCCUGGAAUUGUUACUCGGACGUUUCGGAUGCGGAUUUGAUCGCGGAGCAGCAGAUAUGGGCGGCGUUUGACCCGAAUGCGAAAAACGAAGCGUUUAAUGUGAACAAUGGGGAUGUUUUUAAGUGGAAGCAGUUUUGGACAGUGUUGGCUGAGCAAUUUGAGAUUGGGGAGUACGGGUUUGAUGAGGAGGGUGGGGGUUUUAGUUUGUUGGACAUGAUGAAGGAGAAGGAGGGUGUGUGGGAGGAGAUAGUGAGGGAGAACCAGCUGGAGCCCACAAAGUUGGAGGAGAUAGGGUGGUGGCUGCUGGAUUUGGUUUUCAGUGGGGAAGGUCUCAUGACUAGCAUGAAUAAGAGUAAAGAGCAUGGGUUUUUGGGGUUCAGAAACUCCAAGAAGUCCUUUGUUUCAUGGAUUAAUAAAAACAAAGCUUUCAAGAUUAGGAAACAUGAAGAAGAUCAUGAGGCACCACGCAGCCCCAAGAGCGUGGGGCUGGUCUUCGGUGUAACGGACAUAGUGGGCAACAGCCUAGCUCGAAUCCUCCCACUCUCAGACACACCCGGCAGUCCAUGGAAGGUCUACGGAGUCGCACGCCGUCCUCGCCCGCACUGGAACACCGACUACCCCAUGGAGUACAUCCAAUGCGACAUCUCAGACCCAAACGACACCGUAUCCAAGCUCUCCAGAUUAACUGACGUCUUUUAUGUCACUUGGGCCAGCCGAUCCACGGAGCCCCAAAACUGCGAGGCAAACGCCGCCAUGAUCCGCAACGUGCUACGUGUCGUCAUCACGAACGCGCCAAACCUCUGCCACGUGUGUUUGCAGACAGGGACCAAACACUACUUCGGACUCUACUAGUCGUUCGGCAAACUGGAGCCCCAGGAGCCGCCUUGUUUGGAGGAUCUGCCCCGACGGAACGCCCCGAACUUCUACUACGUCCUGGAGGAGCUGUUGUUUGAAGAGGUGGGGAAGAAAGAGGAGUUGAAUAUUACUUGGUCGGUGCACCGGCCGGGGGCUAUUUUCGGCUUUUCGCCUUACAGCUUGGUUAACAUUGUAGCCAUGCCGAGUGUGUACGCUUCUAUAUGUAAGCAUGAGAAGAAACCUUUGAGAUUUCCUGGAAGCAAAGAGGCCUGGAAUUGUUACUCGGACGUUUCGGAUGGGGCUUUGAUCGCGGAGCAGCAGAUAUGGGCGGCGGUUGACCUGAAUGCGAAAAACGAAGCGUUUAAUGUGAACAAUGGGGAUGUUUUUAAGUGGAAGCAGUUUUGGACGGUGUUGGCUGAGCAGUUUGAGAUUGAGGAGUAUGGGUUUGAUGAGGAGGGUGGGGGGUUUAGUAGGUGGAGAUGAUGAAGGAGAAGGAGGAUGUGUGGGAGGAGAUAGUGAGGGAGAACCAGCUGGAGCCCACAAAGUUGGAGGAGAUAGGGCAGUGGUGGCUGAUGGAUUUGUUUUUCAGUGGGGAAGGUCUCAUGUCUAGCAUGAAUAAGAGUAAAGAGCAUGGGUUUUUGGGGUUCAGAAACUCCAAGAAGUCCUUUGUUUCAUGGAUUGAUAAAAACAAGGCUUUCAAGAUUGUGCCUUGA